rnacentral:lncRNA from 1 species
UGCCAAUCCUUUUGGAGAGAAGUUAAAAGAGAAAAGCAACUUUUAAAUGAGAUUGGGAGCUAAAAUGGAAAAGACAGACAGUAACAAGUGUUGGUGAAGAUGUGGAGAAAUUAGGACCGUCAUACACUGCUGGUGGGAAUGGAAAAUGUACAUGCAGCCACUUUGGAAAACAAUUUGGCAGUUUCUCAAAAUGCUGAACAUGAAGUUACCAUGUGACCCAGCAAUUUCACUCCUAGCUAUGAGGAAGGAACUGUGCUCUGUGAUCAUGCCGGACAGAAGGAGAACAGAGUCAAAUGGGCUAACAUGUGUCUGUGCUCCUCUUGAGAGGCAAACCACAGGCCCAAAUCACAGCACUAACAAGUGGCAAAGCAAAGGAAGGAAUGCAGGUGCAGCUGGUUCCAGCGCUCAGGGCUCCUUCCUUCCCUGGAUGCGGAGAAUAUUCUAGCCUUCCUCGCCAAAACAGGCAGAGCAGAGCCAAGAGAUUUUGCAAAGACUGAAUCAUGAAGAAGGAACCAGGCCUCCCCUGGAUGAGCCUUGGAAAGCCCAACCACAGGGUCACAAAAAACAGUGAGGAAACAGAGGCACAGAGAGGUUAAGCAGUCUGCCUGAGGUCACCAAGUGAGAGAACUGAGAACUGUGAACCCACAGCUUUUGGAGUCUUAUACCUCUAGGUGGGAGAAUUUUCAGUCUGGGACAUGACUGAGGGAGUGGAAAUAAAGCGGAGGUUAGCAGUGUCCUUACUCCCACGAGGACAGGCCAGGAGCUCUGGCCCUGCCACAUUCAGGCCCCUGGGACCCACAGCACUGCAGCAGAACCAGAGAAGCUCCAGACCCUUGUCCCCAGGUUUUGAUGCCACCCCCAGGCCUUUGCCUGGGAUGGAAAGUCACCUGCUCCGUCACAGGGGAUACCCGGAAUAUCUGGGUUGGAUCACAGGCCAGCAGAAUUUGCGGAGGUUCAUCUCAUCCCAUAACAACCAAAAGGACUUGAGAGCUUGAUAUUUAAUGGAAAAGCCAUCACCAUUCUCAUGGAACUCAGCUGAAAGGAUGUAUGCUCAUGGGUGCCAGGCC